rnacentral:rRNA from 1 species
AUUGAACGCUGGCGGCAGGCUUAACACAUGCAAGUCGAGCGGAGAUGAGGUGCUUGCACCUUAUCUUAGCGGCGGACGGGUGAGUAAUGCUUAGGAAUCUGCCUAUUAGGGGGGGACAACAUUCCGAAAGGAAUGCUAAUACCGCAUACGUCCUACGGGAGAAAGCAGGGGAUCUUCGGACCUUGCGCUAAUAGAUGAGCCUAAGUCGGAUUAGCUAGUUGGUGGGGUAAGGGCCUACCAAGGCGACGAUCUGUAGCGGGUCUGAGAGGAUGAUCCGCCACACUGGGACUGAGACACGGCCCAGACUCCUACGGGAGGCAGCAGUGGGGAAUAUUGGACAAUGGGGGGAACCCUGAUCCAGCCAUGCCGCGUGUGUGAAGAAGGCCUUAUGGUUGUAAAGCACUUUAAGCGAGGAGGAGGCUACUGAGACUAAUACUCUUGGAUAGUGGACGUUACUCGCAGAAUAAGCACCGGCUAACUCUGUGCCAGCAGCCGCCGUAAUAC